rnacentral:rRNA from 1 species
UGGGGAAUAUUGCACAAUGGGCGCAAGCCUGAUGCAGCCAUGCCGCGUGUAUGAAGAAGGCCUUCGGGUUGUAAAGUACUUUCAGCGAGGAGGAAGGUGAGGUGGUUAAUAACCGCAGCAAUUGACGUUACUCGCAGAAGAAGCACCGGCUAACACCGGGCCAGCAGCCGCGGUAAGAAGGAGGGCGCAAGCGUUAAUCGGAAUUACUGGGCGUAAAGCGCACGCAGGCGGUCUGUCAAGUCGGAUGUGAAAUCCCCGGGCUCAACCUGGGAACUGCAUCCGAAACUGGCAGGCUAGAGUCUUGUAGAGGGGGGUAGAAUUCCAGGUGUAGCGGUGAAAUGCGUAGAGAUCUGGAGGAAUACCGGUGGCGAAGGCGGCCCCCUGGACAAAGACUGACGCUCAGGUGCGAAAGCGUGGGGAGCAAACA